rnacentral:rRNA from 1 species
AACGAACGCUGGCGGCAUGCCUAACACAUGCAAGUCGAACGAAACCUUCGGGUCUAGUGGCGCACGGGUGCGUAACGCGUGGGAACCUGCCCUUAGGUUCGGAAUAACUCCCCGAAAGGGGUGCUAAUACCGGAUAAUGUCUUCGGACCAAAGAUUUAUCGCCUUUGGAUGGGCCCGCGUUGGAUUAGCUAGUUGGUAGGGUAAAAGCCUACCAAGGCGACGAUCCAUAGCUGGUCUGAGAGGAUGAUCAGCCACACUGGGACUGAGACACGGCCCAGACUCCUACGGGAGGCAGCAGUGGGGAAUAUUGGACAAUGGGCGAAAGCCUGAUCCAGCAAUGCCGCGUGAGUGAUGAAGGCCUUAGGGUUGUAAAGCUCUUUUACCCGGGAUGAUAAUGACAGUACCGGGAGAAUAAGCUCCGGCUAACUACGUG